CCCAGACUCCUACGGGAGGCAGCAGUGAGGAAUAUUGGUCAAUGGGAGGAAUCCUGAACCAGCCAUGCUGCGUGCAGGACGACGGCUCUACGAGUUGUAAACUGCUUUUGUACCGGGGUAAAAUGCCUUACGAGUAGGGUUUUGAAAGUACGGUACGAAUAAGGAUCGGCUAACUCCGUGCCAGCAGCCGCGGUAAUACGGAGGAUCCGAGCGUUAUCCGGAUUUAUUGGGUUUAAAGGGAGCGUAGAUGGGUUGUUAAGUCAGUUGUGAAAGUUUGCGGCUCAACCGUAAAAUUGCAAUUGAUACUGGCAGCCUUGAGUACAGUUGAGGUAGGCGGAAUUCGUGGUGUAGCGGUGAAAUGCAUAGAUAUCACGCAGAACUCCGAUUGCGAAGGCAGCGCACCGGCGCCCUACUGACGCUCAGGCACGAAAGCGUGGGUAUCGAACGGGAUUAGAUACCCUGGUAG
rnacentral:rRNA from 1 species